GAGGGGCUUGGAAUUGACAGGCCGGAGGUGGGGCCCGAGUUCCUGUCUCCAGCCCACGAUUUGCCGAUCCAUCUGUCUUCCUCAGAGAGAGAGGGCGGAUAAUGCACACUGCGCUUCCUUGGAAGACGGCAGGCUCCAGGCCAGACAAACGAAUGUAUCAACCAUACAGAUGAAGAGCUGAGGCUCAGGGAAGGAAUUUGCCAAGGUCACGAAGCUGUAAGACACAGAACCUGGGGUGUCUGCCUGCAGAGCUCACACUGACUCUACAGCCACUGAUCCAAAGCUUCAAUGAGCAAGAGAUGAAGUGACCCCUCCAACCCCACAGCUCAGAGUCUUUCUUGAAGCUCCAACUCCAGGGCCAUUGUUUUCCUGUUCUCCCCACUCCAAGGCCUCUCCUCUCUCCUUGGCCCAACUCUCUGACAGUGAUGCAGCCUUUUUUUCCUGACUACAGCGAGCAACAGCUGUUUGAGAUGGUGGAGCACAUUCUUGCUGGUGAAAGGAAGCAAGGUAUUAAAUGACUAAUCCAGAUCCCCAGCACCACAUCAAGCUCCUCAGGGUUCCUCUUCAAAGCACUGGGCACUUUGAAAGAUAACUGUAAAGGUCACAUUUGUAAUAUAAGCAAGAACUUCUUAAACAGACAUGUAAGUAACUGCACAUAGACAUGACAUGUCAUAGCUCGAGAAAUCUUUUAAAGUAAAGUUUACGCCAAAUUAACUUCCAACAGCUCCGACUCUCCAGACCAUUCUUGGUACUCUUAAUGACAGACUGUGCAGCCCAAAGCCUGCAGCUGCAGUGUCAGGACAAAUUAGCCUAAAGUGGAACAAAAGUCAAUGUGAAGAAACGUGGUAUCCGGCAAGGUCUGACUUUUGAAAUUCUGAGAUUGAUGACAUUUUAAAGGUGUAGGUAUAACAGAAUGUGUUUUCCAUAUUUGUAAGCAAUUCUAGGUUCCUGAGCACUGAGAGAAAAGCAAAGUUAAUUUCUCACCGUAGGAGAAGGCCUCAUUAUUUUUGUGCACAUACCUGACUGUCCUGUGAUCAAGAAAAGGCAUCUUUUAAAAGAAUCGUUUUGAAAUGUUUAUCUCUUAUUUGAAAUCCAAGAAAGAGAGUAGACAUUCAUUUCCAAAGAGGACCAUAAAUCAUAUAACGCUGGGAGAAAGGUCAACACCACCAGCACAGUACAGUUUUCUCACGUAUGCUUAAGGAUUUUCAGAAUCUCCAAAUAAUAGCAUGAUGUAAACUUUGAAUAAAAAAGAACACCAUCAAGACUCCACUGAACAAAGAACGUCUGACUGGAAAUGCUUACGGCACCCUUCACAUGGUUGGGCAACUUUCCUCUACUGUUCCACCCCUUCUGCCUGUGCAGCUGCCAGAGUUAACUUAUCUUUAUCAGAAUCACAAAGGAACACUCUCCUGCUUAUUUACAAGGCUAAAAUGACAUCUGGUGGCGCUCUUCUCUGAGAACUCAGUCACUGUUCCUGGAAAAUGAUUCAAAAGCACAAACUUUUGCAGGGCAACUGUAGGAGUAUUCUUGUGCAUGUGUGUUAAGUACUAACUGCUGAUGUUGCUCAAAUGUUCCGCUAGUCCCUGUAGCCUCACAAUGUUUUAUUCAUUGUCCUGUGAUCAAUUCAAAAAAGCCAUCUUUUAUAAGAAUGGUUUUGAAGUGUUUAUCUUUUAUUUGAACAUCCAAGAAAGAGUAGACAUUGACUUCCACAGGGGACCAUAACUCCUAUAAUGCCUGAAGGUGCUUAAAAUAUAGUGAACUGUGUUAAAGUUAAUAGGAUACAUCAUUAGUGUGUUAAAAAAUGUAAAAUGGUGACAUACUAUCAGCUCACCUGGGUAAGGAAAAUAUGGCUAAAGUACCUCUAAAGGUAUCUACUCAUUAAGUAUACUGACCAAACUUCAGACAUUUUACUUCGACCACAGAAAGUAUUAUUUGAAAAAAACAAUCAUUACAAAAUUAUAUAUUUAAUUAGGAAGUAAAACCUAAAUCUGUAUUUACUAGCAAUACCAACUUUAAAUAUUCUAGUUGCAGCUGACAACAGAAAUUCUAACAUGCAUAUGUUGUUGCGUAAUAGCCUCUUUUUCCUAGUUGGGUAUGUUUGUAGAGACAGAAAGGUCCCCUGACCAAUUGUGCAAUAGAGCCCCAAGAUACUUAAGCCUGGAACUACUCUCUCAGACUUAACAAGAUGUUCAUCUUAAUUUCUAUCAGAUUGGGACAAAACAUUCACUCUUUAGAUAAUAGAGGAGAGACUAAAGAACAUGUCAUAAUAGUCAAAUUUGUGCCAAUGUUAAAUCUAUCCCUUUAAAAACAUGUAUUAUUGUGAGGCCACAGGGAUUAGUGCAACAUUUGAACAGAAUCAGCAGUUAGUACUUAACACACAUGCACAAGAAUACUCCUACAGUUGCCCUGCAACCAAGAAGCUAAUAAAAGAGCCAGGCUUUUCAAAUGAACACCUCGAUGAUGACACCAUUAGUUAUUCAGCAAAAAUAAAUGCUUCAUUAACUUGUCUUCCCACUGUUAAAGGAUAGGAUGAAUUUACCUCAAGGCAGCAACUCAGAUAUUAACGUUCCCUUACAUUUUAGAGCUCACUAUGCAGAAAUACCAGAAAUAAGGUGACUUAAAACUCAAUUUGUCUGUAAAAUACACUGGCCUUUGGAAUCCAGAAACCCACUUGGUCCUGACUGCCAAUUACUUGACCUUCCUUUUGUUACUUGACCUCUCUGGAUCUCACUAAACUCAUUUGUGAGACAAAAGAGGAGAUGUCCAAAGUUUUUUCAUCUCAAAUAUGUUACGAUUUAGAUUCAACAAUUAUUUUUCCAAUUCCUACCACACACCCCGAAUACUGAGGUCACGCUGAGGUAUUAUUUGCCUAAGACUCUCGUAAAUGACUCAAUAAGGGAUCAACUCCAUUAGUGCAGUGGCCAGCAUUGAGUGAUCAGCAAAAAUAUCUCAUUGAGUAUUUCUAUGAUGUCACAGCUGUGCCUUUUAACAUAAUAUAACUUGAAUGUAUGCCUCUUAUCUAUUAAAAAAAUUACAAAUU